UACGUAGGGUGCGAGCGUUGUCCGGAAUUAUUGGGCGUAAAGGGCUCGUAGGCGGUUUGUCGCGUCGGGAGUGAAAUCCACUGGCUUAACUGGUGGCUUGCUUUCGAUACGGGCAGACUGGAGGUAUGCAGGGGGAGAACGGAAUUCCUGGUGUAGCGGUGAAAUGCGCAGAUAUCGAGAGGAACACCGGUGGCGAAGGCGGCCUUCUGGACAGUGACUGACGCUGAGACGCGAAAGCGUGGGGAGCAAACAGG
rnacentral:rRNA from 1 species